UACGAAGGGGGCUAGCGUUGUUCGGAAUUACUGGGCGUAAAGCGCGCGCAGGCGGCUAUCCAAGUCAGUGGUGAAAGCCCGGAGCUCAACUCCGGAACUGCCAUUGAAACUGUUAGCUUGAGGAUGAGAGAGGUGAGUGGAAUUCCCAGUGUAGAGGUGAAGUUCGUAGAUAUUGGGAAGAACACCGGUGGCGAAGGCGGCUCACUGGCUCAUUACUGACGCUCAGGCGCGAUAGCGUGGGGAUCAAACAGG
rnacentral:rRNA from 1 species